rnacentral:rRNA from 1 species
UUUAAGCAUAUCACUCAGUGGAGGAACAGCAAGCAACUGCGAUUGCCUCAGUAGCGGCGAGUGAACCAGCAAACACAGGCAGAGAACAGAGGGGUUUGUGCUUGACGUGGGCUCCCCUCGAAGCAGACCAGUGAUGUUUCGGAUGUUGUGCCAGACUCGAAAGGUAGUGAAUCGUACGUCCGACGAUGAUCGAUCGGACCGGCUGUCUCAGAUCGCUGUGGGGGUUCGCUCCCACUCGAUCCUCAUGCUGUGAGCUGAAGGGGCCACUGGGUGGACCCUCGGGGGACAACUGUGCCUGGGAUCAUUUUGGCUAGAAUCUGAAGCGGCAGAUCCUUGUGUGUGCAGGCUUGUCAAGAGACCCCGGCACCAGGAGCAGUGCCCUGGAAUGGGCCACGCGGGCGGGCGAGCGUCCCCCACCGCAGCGUGUGCCAGGGUCCACCGAGGCUGUCGUGCCAGUGCGCACCCCGGAGUAGAGUGGCUUGGGACUGCAGUUUGAAGUGCGACGUGUAUCCGUCGCAAGGAAGCAUACAGACCUGGGACCGAUAGUGCACAAGUAGAGUGAUCGAAGGAUGCAAAGAACUCCGUGAAGAGGGUUAAAAGCCCCUGAAGCUGCCGCAGGUGCGGCGGUGAGCGAGCGUCGUUGGCUACACUGGUGAACACAGUGCCACCUGUGUGUGUGUGGGAGACUGUCCAAUUGAAACCACACCACACAAAACGGUGGCCCAUGUUGGGUGAUACAGUCCAAGUGCCCUCGGGCCAGCCCCUGGCUCGGCCACUGAGCCCCACCACAGGUCGCUCCCCUCGGUCCCUCCCUCCCUCCGGGGAUGGGAGGUGGCUGGGGAAAACCAGGAGUGGCCUCGUGGGGGAUGGAGUCGUGGCAGCUCCGACAACAGGGUGGCACCAUGCCUGCCAGGGCCCGAGGCAGUGCGCAGAGCACAGCAGAGCAAGAUUCUCCUUACAUCAGCAGUUGAGCGUGCCCCUGUGUGGCAACACACAGGGCCUGAUCGGUGAAACACAGCAUGAGAGACAAGGCUUCUUCAGAGACAACCAAGGCACCACGGUGCACGGAUGGACAGAAAUGGCAAACCAGCGGGAGUCCCACUGGGGCUCCCCCGAUGGAAUCCAGGGGCUGCGGUGUCCCGAUGCCCGGUGGCUGCACCACAUCAUCUGACCUGGUGGUCGCCGGGCCGGGCCCACGUUGUUUGGUCGUGGCCCCCCACCGGGGGGUCCCAGUGCAGAAGAGCAGAGACAACCAAGGCUGUGACAGUUCAAAACCCACUUGUGUGUUGUUGUGGGCUUCUCUCCCAGGCAGAUCUGAGCUUGGCCCCUGCCCCGGACCGUGAAACUGGGUCCGCCGGGCGGUGUCGCUCUCUGCCCGUCUUGAAACACGGACCAAGGAGUCUAUGGAGCGUGCGGAGGUUGUAUGGAGCGCAUCAGACACAGGGAAUUUACAUCAGCAGAGCGUCACGCCAUCGGGCGAGGUGAAGGCGAGAACACAACAGAGCAUGGCUGUUUCGUUCAAGGGCUACAACACUCGGUGGUGCUGUGAAGGCUGGCACGGCACACACACGCAACUGUCGUUGAUCGAUCGAUCAUUCCUGGAUUGUCGUUGUAUGAAAACUCAGGGGCACAACAUGUGGCUGGCCACACACCUGGAGCAGGGCCGCACUGCGUGCGGCGGUGUGUGGGUUGUGCCCCGCAACUGGAUCAUGUUUUCUCCUGCACGGGAUCACCGGUCCCGAUGUCCGCGGGACAGGGUUUUGAGUGCUCGCGCGGUCCCUGGGACCCGAAAGGUGGUGAACUAUACCAUUCCACGGCGAAGCCAUGGGAAACUGUGGUGGAGGCCGGUCCGCUGUUCUGACGUGCAAAUCGCGUUGCCCGAGCGUGGCAUAGGGGUGAAAGGCCAAUCGAACCAUCUAGUAGCUGGUUUCCUUCGAAGUUUCCCUCAGGAUAGCUGGGCUCAGAUGCAGAGGAUCACCAAAUGGCAAACAAAGGAUGACUCUCCUCGAUGUGACAAAGGCAAACUGGGGCUGGCAUGGCAGGACCACCCAGCGGGCCACGUGGGCCCCCCGCACACAUGGCGUUUGUCCGCCGGAUGACGCCAGUGUGGGGAGGACACCACACCCCGCUGGGGCCAUGUGUGGCACCACUGUGAAAUCCCGAGAUGGCUCCUGUGGAGCAACGUGGAAUCGUCGUUAUAUCUGUGGCUGAUUACGUCUGGUAAAGCAACGCAUGAGAGGCACACCAAAUCCUUCCGGGGAGCCUCGCUCCUCGACCUAUUCUCGAACUGUGAAUGGGCGUGGCAAACCCAUCACACAAAAGGCCAAAGAGCAACACAAUGCUUCUUCAGUUCCGACCUGGAGGUCGCGUCCCAGUGGCGCGGUGCUCCGACGGGUCACCUCUGAGCAUGUUUCGUGUGGACUCCAGGGCAACGCCCAAUGGACAAAGGCUGUGAGCAGAACCAACCAAGGGAACACAAGGGCCCAUGUGGGCCAUGACUGGUAAGCAGUGCUGGCGAUGCGGGGUGCUCCGAGAGUGGAUUUACAGAUCCGGAGUGCUGGCUCAUACUCAGACCCCACAAAGGAUGUUGCCUGCUAUGGAUAGCAGGAUGGUGGCCAUGAAGGUUGGAAUCCGCUGAGGAAUGUGUAACAACUCACCUGCCGAAGCGUGCCGCUCCGAAAAUGGAUGGUGCCCAAGUCAGUUUGGUUCUUUCAACAGCAGCAGUAACAAGGCAGCAGGGACACACCAACAGCGAGCGGUCCUCGGUCCGGCUCACUGUCAUCUCAACUGGAGGGUCCUGUGUCCCACAGAGCGCUGUCUCGCCAACGAUGUCUCCUCGAUGUCGAACCUGUGUGAGAGUCGCGUCACACCCGUGUGUCGCAAUGGCAAAGUGGCUGAAACAACAACGUGUUAUCUCCCUCACAAUCCACCGUUCGCUGUGGAUGGCCAAAGCAGAGCAUCAACGUGUAGAAUGGGCAUGAGAGACAGGGCCGCGCCGGCUGGGGCUGUCCCUGGCUGGAGCGUCUCUCGGCGCAGAUCUUGGUUGUAGUAGCGAAUACUCCAUCGAGUGAAGCAAGGGCAUGUCCGCCAUGUGCGGUUGAGGACUGGAGUGGAGCAGGUUUCCACACCAAACAGCCGUUGAAUGUGGGUCAGCCGACCGUGAGUCAAGUGGUAAGUUCACCGUUGUCGUCCAAAGCUGCAAAGGAUCAGGGCCAGACCGCCACACCAGCGUGUGACCUACGUGGCGGGCUGCGUCCCACGACCCCUCCGGGGGCAGGAAUGGCAAACAGGCGAGCAAGUGCAAGAUUCUGCUGUGGUGGGGGUCCGGGGACGCCCCCAUCUCAGCCAGGGGCGGCGACGCCCGUCCUGUGUGUGAGUCCCCAUCCAAGGUCCGCGGAGCGCUAUCUCCAAAAAGUGAAAUGUGGCAAACCAAGGGCUAAGCACGAUCUGAGCAGGCUUCGGGGCAGUGAGGCCCCCGAGGAGUUGUCGUUUCCUCCUGAUGCAGACUCAUGUGGACUACUGAUUGGCAUCUCAGUGUGGCGAGGUACUGUCCUCCGCUCAGCAAGGCGGUGUGCUUCGAGCAUGCCGGUGGCAUUCUGAUACCGUUGUGUUCUGUGUGGCUGUCCCAACACACACAUCGUGUGGUGGCGGUGGUCACUGGCUCCAAUGAAAGGCCUGUCCGGGCUGCCGGUGCCCCCGGCAUCCCUCAUGUGGAGUGUCGUACCGGAUCACCGCAGCAGGUCUCCUCGAUGCAAAGUCGCUGGGGCCGCGGAUGAAAUGCAGCUAAGGGAAGUCGGCAAACUGGCUGUGCACCUUCGGAAGAUGCAGUGGCUCCAGAGGCCAAGAGGCAAGAACUCACACCGAUCGAUGAGAAACCGUGGGAUCAUCGUGGGCAACCCAGAGUGUGGCUCAUGUGGAACUGUUGCUGUGCAGGGGAAUCUGACUGUUUAAUUGAAACCCAGCUUUGUGAUGGGACCAGCUGGCUGGUUCCAUGAGGUGACUUCUGCCCAGUGCUCUGAUUGUCAAUGCGAAGAGAUCCAGCCAAGCGCGGGUAAACGGCGGGAGUAACUAUGACUCUCUUAAGGUAGCCAAAUGCCUCGUCAACCAAUUAUUGACGCGCAUGAAUGGAUCAAUGAGAUUCCUGCUGUCCCUAGUCGCUGUCUGGUGAACCGACAACCAAGGGAACGGGCUUGGAUGUGUCCGCGGGGAAAGAAGAGCCCUGUUGAGA